AGUAACUGUGGCUUACGUUCUAGUGGUAAGUGUGCUUCGGCAACAGCCAUCUCAAUCAGAGCUUGAUCAUCACUACUGGGUGCAAGUUGGGAUACUACUGGAAAAGGUAAUGGUGGAGGAAUAGAGCUGAGCAGAGAUAGUGUCUUACUUGAAUGUUGGGUUUGUGCAUUUUUGUUCAAAUGUUGGGAUCUUCCCACAGGAACACUAGCAUGUCCAGGUUGAAAAGGGUACUCUUCAUUAGGGUUGGACUUAAAAGAGUAUGUCUGGUCAACUACAUUAAUCUGUAGACCACUUGAAUAAAUGAAAUCUAAACCCAAGACUACAGAGUAAGCCAAGGCUUUUGGAGUGAGAAUGGCAGCUUGAGUAGGAAAAACUUUGUUAUGCAAUAUGAUUUCAAAAUUCGUCCAUCCUAAAGGAACUUCGGCUUCUCCAUUGGCCAGAUAGAGUGGGCCAAGUGUCCAGGGAUGGAGGCUGGCUUGGGGAUCGAUCUCCUUCCACAAACUCUCAUGGAGUAAAGUGUAACUGGCACCCGUAUCCAAUAUGGCUUUUCCUCUCCAAGCCCCAAUGUAAAUUGGAACUAUCAGCUGUUGUGGUAUGACCACAGAUUUAGUAACAGUCGACUUGGGUAAUGGCUUUGAAGGAAGUGUAAUAGACAUGGCAUUGUUUGAUGGAUUACCUCCGUGCUUUUGGGUCUGAAAAUGACGUUUAUUUCCUGUAGGAGGAGGGUGACUAGAUGAUUGAGUGGUUUGCACAGAGGAGGAAUAGUGAGGACAACUACCUGGUGGAUGCAGACCUUUGCAUCUCCAACACAAAACUGGAGGUUUCUCAACUCGGUUGGGGGCAAUUCUUUGUGGUGAGGGUUGAGUCACAUGUUCUACAUAAUGUAACUGCUGAACAUAAUCCUUCUCAAGCUGAAGGCCCAGUUUAACCAACUCAUCCACUGUAUGGACACGGCUUCGAAGUUGGCUGGCUAGGUGAGGUUUUAUGUUUUUUAGAAUCAUUUUUACUAAUUCACUCUCAGUUAGUGUGGGCUUCCAUCGUUUACACAUUGCUCUGUAUGUAAAAGCAAAGUCUCUAAUUGACUCUUUCUCUGCUUGUGUUCUAGUUCUAACCCUCUCUGCCAGCUCAUCCUCAUAGUCUUCUGAAAGGAAAGCUGAGAGAAAAGCAGUUUCAAACUCACUCCAUGUGGAAAUAGCAGAGCGAGCCACUUCCCACCAAUCCCGGGCUGUACCGUACAGGACAGUGCGGAAGGUAGCUAGGAUGUCUGGAUCAUCUAGAGGGUGUGUUUGAAAAGGCAUUGGAGCAGUCACUGAAGAUGAAGACUGUGUUGAAACGGAUACAGGUGCACUGCUUGGAGGAUCAGACACUUGCUUUAUAGGUGGGAUGAAAUCACUUAUUUCUGUUUGAAGAUUGUCAAGUUGGUUUUUUAUGGCAUUAAUUUCAGUGCUGCAGUGAUUUAGAUCACUGGAAAGGCGUUCAAAAUUCUUGUCCGAGUGUUCCUUGGUAGCUUGAAUAUCCUUCUGCAAUUCCAACUGAGCUUGUUCCACCAUGAAGCGAAUCUCUGAAAUUAAGGUACUUUCACUCCUUUGGAUUUCUUGUGUCACCAUCACCUUCACAGCUUUAGUGAGUUGAUCCGCUGUCUCUGUGUCAUCUUUUCGUUGUGCAGUUAAUGUGUUCAGGAGUUGCUGAUAGGUGGAUUCCAUUUUUGCAAGCUUUGCUUCAUGCAGGGAAAAAGAUUUAGCCGAUUUUUCAGUGAGUUCCUUCACAGCUUUAUCUUGCCGUUUCAGACAGUCAAAUACACGAUCCCAGUUUCCUUGUACAUGAGCAGUAAGUUGAUGAAUUUCUCUUCCAGGUGUAGGGAGGUAUCCAGGAAGAGCAUGCUGGGUUGCUGUGGAGGGCGGUGAUUCUACCAUGGAUGCACUUGUGCACAGUUGCAUUGGGUCAGGUUGAACUGUAGAAGUAACACCUGGAGUGGUGGUGUGGAAAUGCACUUGAGUCCUUCCAUAAGGGUCUAACUGAGUGGGUGUGGAGUGGUAUGUGGGAAUGUUGGAAGGUGAUGAGAACUGUCUUUGCUGCACUGGUGGCCAAACUGGAGUGGCUAUAUCAGGUGGAUCAAUAUCCACGGAAGUUGAAGGGGAAGGACUGACGUUGGCCAUGUUUAUAGUGUGUAUGAGUGCAAUCUAAGGGUUUUGAAAAAAUAAAAAUCAAAAAAGAAAAUGUUGACUUUUUAAGCAAUGUGGUCACAAAAAAUAUAUAUAUAGAGAGAGAGAUGUCAAAAGUACCACAAGUACCAAAUUCACAAGGUAUACAAAAUCAGUACAAUUCCUGUACAAUGACACAAAUGUUCUAUAACAACUUUUUUUUUUUUUUUUUUAACAAAAUUGUUUUUUUUUUCCAAAGUCUUUGUCAGUAAAGCAAAACAGUUCAAAAAGUCAAAAAGGUUGUUGUCAACUGAAAUCAGUCAAACAAUUCAAAUGAGUUUCAAAGUUCAAAAUUUCCCAAAAUAAAGUAAGGUUUCAAUGGUGUUCAAUGUCUUUUAAAGUGUUCAGUUUUUUUUUUUUUUUUUUUUUUUUUUUUUUUUUUUUUAAGUGUUCAGGGUCCCUGUUCGGGCGCCACUUAUGUGACGGUGGUUGUUUGUAAUAAAUAAAUCUUAUAUACAGUUUAUAAUAAGAAAAAAAAAUAAUAAUUCAAAUCUCAAAAACUGAACUCCGCGGGAUUCGAACACGGGACUUCCUGCACCGCAGCCGAACGCUCAACCGCUGGUCCACGUGGGUACUGCACUACCUGACUUUCACACGUCCCUUAAUCCCACUGCCAGCGGACCUCAAACAAAAAAAAAAAAAUAAAUAGUUACCAAAAUUAAUAAAUCUUUGGGCGCCAGACAAGAUUAACUUGCCAAAAAUUAAAUUAAAACCCUGGAUAGCCGCGGCAAACACUUAACCACCAUACACACAAAGAGAAGAAAAUAAAGAUUACCCAACACACACUUUAAAUUAAAUUAACUGGUAUAUUUUUAACAAGCAGUACAACAAAAAGGUUUUCAAAAUCAAAAUAUAUACUUUUAAUCACUGUUCAGUCAUAGAUCAUAGUCAAAAUUAGCACUUCUUAGGUAACAAAAGGAAACAUCAAACAAACAAUUCAAACACUUCAAUAAUAAUGUUUAGAUAACCCAAAAGAAAACAAACAAACAAACAAACAAACAAACAAUAAUAAUGUGUGGCUGAUCGACUGGAAACAAGAGAGGGAAAAAAUGUAAAGAAAGCCUAUGUGAUAACGUUGUAAUGUGUGUGUGGAAUGUGUGGGUGUAUGAAUGGAUGCAAAUGGACAAAAGUUACUGACCCAGGGACACCGAAUCCGUUCUGCACAGGUCCACUUUUCCCAUCAGAAUUUCAGACCCCUCGCACACAAUACUAGAGAUCGCCUGGUCACCACGUCCACGAAUUGCUUCCACCCCUCAGUUUUUUCCUCACACAGUCAUUGAAACCAACAAGCUCUCCACCUUACACCGUUCUUCUCCUCUUUCUCCAAUUCUUGCCACCAAAUACCCGACACCAAAACAAC